UAGCUAUCAAGGGGUCUGGGAGAGAGCGAUGAUGACCCCAGGUUCUGAUUCCCCAGACCCUCCCCUCACUUCUGACCCUUUCCUUUCCUCUCUGCAGGGGGAUAUCCAGGAGCUUAUGAUCCUGCAAGAUGCUCAGGCUGCCUUCAGGGCCUGUGAAAACUUGCUGCCCAGCUGCGACACCCCCACUACCCCAGCCACCCCAACUGCAGGGGUGAGCACACCUUUGUAUUUGCCACAAGAUAAAUGACUGGGACAGCUAGAUGGCACUGUGGAUAGAGUACUAUGUUUGGAAUCAGGAAGACCUGAUUUUGAAUCCUACCUCAGAUACUAGCUACCGAAUGUUAAGCUAACUAAGGCCAGAUGACUUCAUCUUUCUUGGCUUGAGUUUCCUCACUUGUAAAAUGAAGGGAUUUGACUUGACCUGUAAAGUCCCUUCCAGCUUUAGAGCUAUGAUCUUUAUGACUUUAUAUGCCCUGGCAUGGGAUAAAUAAGUCUCCUAGCAUGGAGUGGGUGAUCCCUGACUUGUUGGCGUGGAAUGGAUGACCCCUGCCCUGGGGCAAGUGGUUUUCAAUUGCUCACUUUGAGGCAGGCUGACCCAAGAAUUAGCUCACUGUCCAGGAUCCUAUGUGACCAGAAUGCCUGGGUUCCCAACCUAGAGAAGGGCUGCUUACCGGGAAGCAUCUUCUGGGCCCUGAGCAGAAUGCCUUCUACCCAGGUGGAGCCAGAAACCCCUCCUCCCCAAAGGAAGAGGAAGGGGAAAGGGAAGGGAAAGGGCCGCAAGGGCCGCAAGGGCAAGGGCAAGAAAAAGAAAAACAAGGACUCUGAGAAACCAGAAGUGCUCCCAACUUCACCAGAAGGCCAGAUCACCACUCACAUUCCUGAGGUAGAGACUUUAACUCUUCCCUCUGAGACAGAGACUGUGGCUCCAACUGCCCCUCUGAAUGUCACAGUUGUCACAUCCACAGUGGCCAUCAGUCUCAAUGGCACCACCUAUAAAGACCCUGGAAAUGAGCCAGUGUCCUCUGAAGCUACACACAAGCUCCCUGAGCCACGGGAGGGCAGGGGUGAGGAAUGGGGAAACUCUACUAUGAACCCCAUCUAUGGGCCAGCUGAGCGGGGGUCAGAGACCCAGAUCUACAUAUUUCCUGUGAGUUUGGGGGAGGUCUCUGGGGAAUAAGGGACUUGAGGAAGAUACGGGUCUCUAGGAAAAUAGGUUCUGAGGGAUAGGAGACUCUGGUAGGGAUGAACGGUGCUGAGAGAUGACCUCUGAGUAGCAUGAGAAGUCUGAGAAGAUGAGGAUAUCUCUGAAGGAUGAGGUACCCCCUGGGGAAUAGGAAACUAUGGAAGAAUUUGGAAUUUGGGGGAAAUGGAGGGCUCUAGGGGUACCAGGGUCUCUGGGAAGUUUAAAGACUCUGGGACACAGGAGAAUUAGAAGCAACGGGAGAAUGGAAAACUUUAGGGGGCUGAAAAAUUCUGGGUGAUGGGUCUUUGGGGGAGACCUAGUGGUCUGGUGGGUAGGGAACUCUGGAGGAACUCUCGUUUCCCAAGUUGCUCUGGAAAGGUUGAGGGCCUGGGAUACAUGACCCCUAACUAAGGGGCAGUAUGGUGGUACCAUAGGAUUGAUACUUUAUCUAAUGGGGGAGAGGGGCUGGUUGGGGUUUGAAGGAUUCUGAGUCUCUGUAAUGCCCUCUUCCCCUCCUCUUCCCCUGCAUCCUAGAAUGCUGGUGAAAAAGGUCAGAAAGGGGAGCCAGCAGUUAUUGAACUGGUGAGUGGGGGACAGUAAUCAUGAGGUGCAGGGCAGUGUUGAACACCUCCUUCCUUGCAGGGAUGUGGGGGAGGGGGUACUGUGACUGAGUGUGGGCUCAUAUUUGUUUUUCUCUCGAAGGGCCAGCAGUUUGAGGGACCCCCAGGACUUCCAGGGCCUUUGGUGAGCAUUAACACCCCAACCCUUUCUUUUUCCCUUUCUUUUCUGUUAUCCCACCUUCCCAGCUCCUGGCUCUA
ensembl:lncRNA